CCUACGGGAGGCAGCAGUGAGGAAUAUUGGUCAAUGGUCGGGAGUCUGAACCAGCCAAGUAGCGUGAAGGAUGACUGCCCUAUGGAUUGUAAACCUCUUUUAUCAGGGAACAAAACGAGGCACGUGUCCCCGCAUGCAUGUACUUUAUGAAACAGCAUCGGCUAACUCCGUGCCAGCAGCCGCGGUAAUACGGAGGAUCCGAUCGUUAUCCGGAUUUAUUGGGUUUAAAGGGGGCGCAGACUGGGAGGUAAGUCAGCGGUGAAAGGCCCCGGGUCGACGGGGUGAAGUGCCUUUGAUACUGGCUGGCUGGAGUUGGAAGGACGUGGGCGGAAUGUGUGGUGUAGCGGUGAAAUGCAUAGAUAUCGCGCAGAACACCGAUUGCGAAGGCAUCUCGCGGAUCCGAAAUUGACGCUGAGGCACGAAAGCGUGGGUAUCGAACAGGAUUAGAUACCCUAGUAGUC
rnacentral:rRNA from 1 species